rnacentral:rRNA from 1 species
AACCAGGCGAUCUAUCCAUGAGCAGGUUGAAGGUUGGGUAACACUAACUGGAGGACCGAACCCACUGUCGUUGAAAAGCCAGGGGAUGACUUGUGGAUAGGGGUGAAAGGCUAAU